GGGGUUGUGGCUCAAAGGUAGAGCACUUGCCUAGGAUGCAUGAAGCACUGAGUUCGAUUCUCAGCACCACA
rnacentral:tRNA from 1 species